rnacentral:rRNA from 1 species
GACGAACGCUGGCGGCGUGCUUAACACAUGCAAGUCGAACGGAAAGGCCCUGCUUUUGUGGGGUGCUCGAGUGGCGAACGGGUGAGUAACACGUGAGUAACCUGCCCUUGACUUUGGGAUAACUUCAGGAAACUGGGGCUAAUACCGGAUAGGAGCUCCUGCUGCAUGGUGGGGGUUGGAAAGUUUCGGCGGUUGGGGAUGGACUCGCGGCUUAUCAGCUUGUUGGUCGGGUAGUGGCUUACCAAGGCUUUGACGGGUAGCCGGCCUGAGAGGGUGACCGGCCACAUUGGGGCUGCGAUACGACCCAGACUGCUACGGGAGGCAUCAGUGGGGAAUAUUGCACGAUGGGCGGCAGCCUCAUCCAGCAACGCCGCGUGCUGGAUGACGGCCUUCGGGUUGUAAACCGCUUGCGCCUGUGACGAAGCGUGAGUGACGGUAAUGGGUAAAGAAGCACCGGCUAACUACGUG